GUAGUUAUGUAUUUUUUGAAGUUUCUAAAAAAAUAUUGAAAAAGUUUCAUAAAAAUUUCAAAAUAAAAGUAAAAAGAAAAUAAAUUAGCCUGGAAAAUGUAAAAAGAUUGGAUAUAGGGCCGAUAAAUAAGGUUUAAGGUCACUAUCAGCAGUUCAAAUGACCAUUUGGAAGCCAAGAAUAGUCAGAAUCAAAGAUUAUAUUACAAAUAACGAUCAUUAUUUCAUAAUCGUUGCAAUUACAACAGGUUUUCUUUCGAUGGACUUCUAUUGGAUAAACUUCUUCCAAAAUAAUCUAAUGGUUAUCGAUCUGAUUAUGUUUGACUCAGCCAAGAAAUUUGCAACACGAAAACCACUAAGAAUAUCCCACAUAUAGGAGAUGAGAAUGGAGGUGUACAUUUUAUUACUUUAUUUUAAAAUUUCUGUGUUUUUUAUUUUUCUGU